GGUUAAGCGACUAAGCGUACACGGUGGAUGCCCUGGCAGUCAGAGGCGAUGAAGGACGUGCUAAUCUGCGAUAAGCGUCGGUAAGGUGAUAUGAACCGUUAUAACCGGCGAUUUCCGAAUGGGGAAACCCAGUGUGAUUCGUCACACUAUCAUUAACUGAAUCCAUAGGUUAAUGAGGCGAACCGGGGGAACUGAAACAUCUAAGUACCCCGAGGAAAAGAAAUCAACCGAGAUUCCCCCAGUAGCGGCGAGCGAACGGGGAGCAGCCCAGAGCCUGAAUCAGUGUGUGUGUUAGUGGAAGCGUCUGGAAAGGCGCGCGAUACAGGGUGACAGCCCCGUACACAAAAAUGCACAUGCUGUGAGCUCGAUGAGUAGGGCGGGACACGUGGUAUCCUGUCUGAAUAUGGGGGGACCAUCCUCCAAGGCUAAAUACUCCUGACUGACCGAUAGUGAACCAGUACCGUGAGGGAAAGGCGAAAAGAACCCCGGCGAGGGGAGUGAAAAAGAACCUGAAACCGUGUACGUACAAGCAGUGGGAGCACGCUUAGGCGUGUGACUGCGUACCUUUUGUAUAAUGGGUCAGCGACUUAUAUUCUGUAGCAAGGUUAACCGAAUAGGGGAGCCGAAGGGAAACCGAGUCUUAACUGGGCGUUAAGUUGCAGGGUAUAGACCCGAAACCCGGUGAUCUAGCCAUGGGCAGGUUGAAGGUUGGGUAACACUAACUGGAGGACCGAACCGACUAAUGUUGAAAAAUUAGCGGAUGACUUGUGGCUGGGGGUGAAAGGCCAAUCAAACCGGGAGAUAGCUGGUUCUCCCCGAAAGCUAUUUAGGUAGCGCCUCGUGAAUUCAUCUCCGGGGGUAGAGCACUGUUUCGGCAAGGGGGUCAUCCCGACUUACCAACCCGAUGCAAACUGCGAAUACCGGAGAAUGUUAUCACGGGAGACACACGGCGGGUGCUAACGUCCGUCGUGAAGAGGGAAACAACCCAGACCGCCAGCUAAGGUCCCAAAGUCAUGGUUAAGUGGGAAACGAUGUGGGAAGGCCCAGACAGCCAGGAUGUUGGCUUAGAAGCAGCCAUCAUUUAAAGAAAGCGUAAUAGCUCACUGGUCGAGUCGGCCUGCGCGGAAGAUGUAACGGGGCUAAACCAUGCACCGAAGCUGCGGCAGCGACGCUGAUGCGUUGUUGGGUAGGGGAGCGUUCUGUAAGCCUGCGAAGGUGUGCUGUGAGGCAUGCUGGAGGUAUCAGAAGUGCGAAUGCUGACAUAAGUAACGAUAAAGCGGGUGAAAAGCCCGCUCGCCGGAAGACCAAGGGUUCCUGUCCAACGUUAAUCGGGGCAGGGUGAGUCGACCCCUAAGGCGAGGCCGAAAGGCGUAGUCGAUGGGAAACAGGUUAAUAUUCCUGUACUUGGUGUUACUGCGAAGGGGGGACGGAGAAGGCUAUGUUGGCCGGGCGACGGUUGUCCCGGUUUAAGCGUGUAGGCUGGUUUUCCAGGCAAAUCCGGAAAAUCAAGGCUGAGGCGUGAUGACGAGGCACUACGGUGCUGAAGCAACAAAUGCCCUGCUUCCAGGAAAAGCCUCUAAGCAUCAGGUAACAUCAAAUCGUACCCCAAACCGACACAGGUGGUCAGGUAGAGAAUACCAAGGCGCUUGAGAGAACUCGGGUGAAGGAACUAGGCAAAAUGGUGCCGUAACUUCGGGAGAAGGCACGCUGAUAUGUAGGUGAAGCGACUUGCUCGUGGAGCUGAAAUCAGUCGAAGAUACCAGCUGGCUGCAACUGUUUAUUAAAAACACAGCACUGUGCAAACACGAAAGUGGACGUAUACGGUGUGACGCCUGCCCGGUGCCGGAAGGUUAAUUGAUGGGGUUAGCGCAAGCGAAGCUCUUGAUCGAAGCCCCGGUAAACGGCGGCCGUAACUAUAACGGUCCUAAGGUAGCGAAAUUCCUUGUCGGGUAAGUUCCGACCUGCACGAAUGGCGUAAUGAUGGCCAGGCUGUCUCCACCCGAGACUCAGUGAAAUUGAACUCGCUGUGAAGAUGCAGUGUACCCGCGGCAAGACGGAAAGACCCCGUGAACCUUUACUAUAGCUUGACACUGAACAUUGAGCCUUGAUGUGUAGGAUAGGUGGGAGGCUUUGAAGUGUGGACGCCAGUCUGCAUGGAGCCGACCUUGAAAUACCACCCUUUAAUGUUUGAUGUUCUAACGUUGACCCGUAAUCCGGGUUGCGGACAGUGUCUGGUGGGUAGUUUGACUGGGGCGGUCUCCUCCUAAAGAGUAACGGAGGAGCACGAAGGUUGGCUAAUCCUGGUCGGACAUCAGGAGGUUAGUGCAAUGGCAUAAGCCAGCUUGACUGCGAGCGUGACGGCGCGAGCAGGUGCGAAAGCAGGUCAUAGUGAUCCGGUGGUUCUGAAUGGAAGGGCCAUCGCUCAACGGAUAAAAGGUACUCCGGGGAUAACAGGCUGAUACCGCCCAAGAGUUCAUAUCGACGGCGGUGUUUGGCACCUCGAUGUCGGCUCAUCACAUCCUGGGGCUGAAGUAGGUCCCAAGGGUAUGGCUGUUCGCCAUUUAAAGUGGUACGCGAGCUGGGUUUAGAACGUCGUGAGACAGUUCGGUCCCUAUCUGCCGUGGGCGCUGGAGAA
rnacentral:rRNA from 1 species